UCCGAGGAGCAGAGGCAGCUAAGGGCUGAGACCCCGGGGGCUGCCGCCACCCUGGAUCUUGCCCCACAGGAGCAGGAAGCACUGGACUCCUGCGUGGGACUGGGAGCCUUUCCUUUGAGAUUUGGCAAAACUUCCCAGGCUCUUUUGUCAGCUGUCCUCGGGUAUGGUUAGUCCUAUCCCUGAUCCUUCAAGGGUGCCCUCAAGACAGCCUCCGCCAACACCCCUACCCUCUGCCUGUAUAGAACUUAAUAGAAAAGCUAGACGAAAAAGGCAGCCUUGAGAUAUGGAGGAAACAGGAGAGAGGGGAAGUGGGCUUUUUUUUUUUUUUACUGUGACACUUUUUAUAAUUUAUUGAGUGCCUAUUACAUGCCAGUCACUGUGCAGGUUUCAAACUAAGAAAAGCUUGGGAAAGAGCCCUUUAGAGUUCACAAAAAAUUUUCCUGUGUAUUUGGGGUUUGAGCUUCACAAAGUUGUGUGUUGAGCAGUUCAGGUCUUACUGUCCCCAUGUUUCAAAUGAGGAAGUACACGGCUCUCAAAAUCCCACAUCACAGAAAACGCAGCUCUGAGCCUGCUCCUCCAGCUCAGGGUUUCUCACCUUUGACACUAGUGACACUUUGGAGCCACAAAAUUCUCUGCUAGGGGAAGGGCUGUCCUACACACUGUGGGAUGUUUAGCUGCACCCCUGGCCUCUACCUAUUAAUGCUAGUAGCACCCCUCCAGAUGAGACAACCGAAAAUGUCUCCAGGCACUGCCAAAUGUCCCCCGGGGGUAAAGUCACCCCGGUUGACAAAGCCGGCUCUCUGCUUUGCAGCCCCAAGGCCCCCGAGCUGCUUCUCUGAGCUGCUUUCCUGUGCGCGCCCCUGUAAAACAAUCACCUUUUUUGGGCAGGACGCUCUGGCCCAGAGAGGCUGGUUGACUUGCCAGAUUUUGCUUUCUGUGACUGACGUAAAGCAUCUUCCAUCUUUGUUCCAGUUACCUGGCUUAGCUCUUCCCUGCCUUGUACUCCCCAGAACAGGUGUGUUUAUGUGCACACAUCUGCCUCACUCCACUCAGUGCCCUGUCACAUUUCGUCCCAAUCUGUUCCCCUUCCUUCAGUCCUGCACGGAAAGCACCAUGGGACAUACCUGUGUGUGCCCAGCAGUGUCCCCAGUUCAGAAGGCAGUCAAGGCAGACAACAGAGUCUUCCACACUCCUCCAGUCAGGCUGGGUGGGAAUUGCUCUGUGCAGUGUCAUGACCACAAUCUGAGUGAACAUCGACAAAGCCCCCUUAGCAGCUAAUUAGCCCUGCCACGCACGGUGGGUAUCGUUUAUCGUCUGGCUAUGCACCAGUCUUUCCUCCCUGCCUGGAAGACCCAGCGGCUGUCACUGUGAUUGUCUGCACUGCUGUUGUAGUAACAGGAGGUUUGGUGGUUUGGUGCAGAACAGGUGCCCCGGGUUCAGCAAGCUGGGCCAGACCAAGGUCGAGAGAUACCUCAGAGAAGUCUGAGAGGUGGCAGGUGCAGACGUGAGGGUGUUCUUAGACUAGAUCAGCCAGAGGCCUCACAGAGUUAGGCAGGCCUGAACUUCCCACCCCUCGCCUGUGAAGCUUCUGCCCUCCCAGCUAUGAACUGAGGAAGGCCCUGCUUCCUGAUACCGGCUCGGGCAGCAUGGGCUGCCGCCCGGCACACGAGGUACCCAUUCUGUCCUUGGGGUUCCUGAACCUGGAGACCAGGACAUCGUCUGUCUGGCUCACUGCUGUCUCCACUGUUGGUUAAUACCUAUUUGUUAAAUGAUUGAAAACAUGUCAGCCACUUGAUAGGAUAAGCCAGCCUGGUUGAUGUGGGUGCUGUCUGAGGCUCCAGAGUUGAUUGUGACCCUUUCAGUCUUGUUCCGACCUCUGAGAUUGCAUGUGGAAGCCAAACAGGAUUCUGCUCUCUUCAAAUUAAUUUCUCAAGGACGGGGUUUAUCAAAAGUCCUUCCUGUUUGAAUCCUCUCCUCUGGGAAGGCUUCUCCUUCGGCAUAUGUCCCCAGUGGACAGUCCUCAUCUCCCAGUCGCUCCAGCCGGGGCAGGCCCAGGUCUCCAGGCUUCUCUGGCUGCUCAGGGAUGACCUGUGUGCAUGCUUCUUUCAAAGGCUAACACAAAAGCAGGGGAGGAGACAGGCCUUGAGGUGAGGAAAUUUGUCCAAAGGCCCCCAGCAAGUCAGAGGAAGGGCUAGAAUCUGGCUCUUCAGGCCCUCCUAGAGCACUGUCACUGCAUCAUGUGGCCUUUGUAAGUGACAGGCAGCUAGAGACAAGUUUUCAUCAGAAAAGUGGCCAGAUGUUAGGCAUUGUCUGCACCACUAAAAAGCAGCUCCAGGAACAGAUGCCCACGUCGUAGCAGACCAACUAGGACGUGCUACGGAAGCCAGCAAGAGUGUGGGGAGCCUGGAGGAGGAAAGAGGAAAAGGCAAGAACAGGCCGUAUGCCCGCAGAGGCCACGUCCCCUGGGCACAAGCAAGGAAAAGACCCCAGCCUGUGCCAAGAACCAAGAACCAAGAAGCAUGCCUGGUGAUUCCUAUUUCCUGCGUGCAGCCUGGGCUCCCUGGCUCAUCUCUUCCUGGAAGGUCUUGAAAGUGAGGUGAUUGGACAAGGAAAGGCACUUCGCUGCAGCAUCUGGAAGGCUUCAUUCAUUUGCCCAUUCAGUGGACAUUUGCUGUGCGCUAGGUCUGGGAGGAAGGGUGAGUGAGGAAGCCCUGGUGGCGCUCAUGGAUUCAGGGCCCUGUGGGGGUGCCACUUGCUGCAGUCUUAGCGGAGGCGUAUGGUGGCGAGAGGACGGUCUUCACAAUGGACAGGCUCAGGCUGGAUGCCCCACUCUGCCACCUGUUAGCCAAAAGAGCCAGCAAGCUGCUUCACAUCCCGAACUUGUUCCCUGAUGUGUAACUGGGGAUCAUUUUGGUCCCACUUUCCGGCGGCUGUUGGGGGUACAGUGCUGAGCGCCAUGGCUAACAGCCAGAAGCUCAGAGCCCACCCGUGCUGCUGAUAGUGUGUUCUAUUGGGUGGUUAGUCAUUUCCCUCUUGGGACACUUUCUCCUGGACCCUCUCUCUUGCUCCUUCCCCGUGUAUUUGCCACUUUCAUGUUGAGCUGCUGGCACUCAUGUCUAAAUGCUCGUCUACCUGGAAGAAGUUUCAGGCCCAGGUUUGAAAGGGUGGAGAAGAGCUGCCAGAGCUGCCGUUUGUGAGCCGCCCUGCCUGGCUCCUCCCCCUGCACGCCCGUCCCCGCCUCAGCUCUGUGGCUUUGUUGGUUCCGGGCCUGGAGGAGGGCUGCAGUCUUACCUGGUUGUGCGGAAGUCCACAGCUUUUCUUGAUUGACAGUUGUGGGUAAAAUGAACAGUUUUAGUUUGUUUGGAGACUCCUUAGUAUAUCAAAUACACAGUAAACCCAAUCCAAAGAAACAGCAUGUCCAGAUGAGCCUGCCAACCUGGACCAAGCCCCUGGGCUUCAAAACCAGGCCUGUGCGUAGACUCCACAGCCUCCCAGCUUUCUUCUGGCCUUUGGUGCUCACUCACUCACUCGCUCGCCCGGUGACUACGGCCCAGGCCAUCUCCCCAGCUGGACUGGGAGGAGUUCGAGGGCCAGCACUGAGUUGUGGCGGCGGACCCCAACUCUGGCUGUGCUUCCUUGGAGCACACGGCUGGAGCCCCGCGGUGAAAUGCUGACACCUUGUGGCCAGCUGGCAGGGUGUCUCCUUCCUCCUCUGGGUGAGAGCCGACGACAGAGGCCAGGGGUCACAACCUUUUUUUGUAAAGGGCCAGAUGGUAGAUAUUCUAGGCUUGGCAGACUUGAAGUGUCUGUCACAGCUCCUGCUAGGUAGCACUAGCGCAAUCACAGACAGUAUGUAAACAAGUGGGUGCAGCUGGGUCCCAAUGAAACUUUAUGGACACUGAAAUUUGAAUUUCAUAUAAUUUCCAUGUGUCACAAAAUAUUCUUCUUUUAAUUUUUUCCAAUCAUUUAAAAUGUAAAAUCACUCAUAGCUCGCGAGCUAUGCAAAAACAGGCAGCAGCUGGAUUUGGAGCACGAUCCCUUGUUUGCCGACCCCUGGCCCAGGACACCUCUCCUCCAUGCUCCCAACACGAGCUCCCAGCUGUCACACCUGGACCCUCACUUUGGCCUUGUUCUAUCAAGAGGAACCCCCCAGUCCCCCUCCCCCAACCAGCUUGCUGCCACUAAGCCCUCUUACCAGAAAUUCUGGAGUUGUUGGUUUUCAUCCAUUUCAUAAGUUUACAUAAGUAUCCAUCAGAUGCCCAGCCCUGUGGUGAGGGCCAUAAAAGAGCCUGGAGUUUUAACCAACAUGUAUUUUAUAUUUACUUUUAUUCAUUCAUUUGUUCAAACAAACACAUUGAGAACUUACUGUGUCCCAGGCACUGUAAUAAGGCAGACCUGGUCUCUGCCCUGAGGGUAUUCAUAACCUGGUUGGGAAGAUGGACACAGGGAGGCAAGCAUUAUAAUGGGGAAGCACAGGGGGUGUGGAAGCCCAGAAGAAGUACUUACCUCAACCUGAGGGUAGAGGUUAAGGAAGGCUUCCUGGAGGAGGAGGUGACCUCUGAGGAAUGAAUGUGGGAGGGGAGAAUGAGGCAAGACAUUCCAGGGAAAGUUUCAGAGCCUAGAAAGAACUCUUUCAAGAGAAUUAUAAGCAUCCAUGACAUAGUGAAGGUUCAGAUAUAGUAUCUGCCCUCGAGGCCUCCCAGUCUGGCGGGUAAGCCAGUCUUCCACAAGCUGUGGUAAGGUUGUGGAGAGAGAUUUAAAGAAGUUUUCUCUCUAGCUUGUAGGACUGGUUAUCUGUGAGCCUCAAGAGGGUAAGCAAUGGGAAGCAAGCACUCUGAAGGCUAUCAAUAAUCCCCAGGGCCAGGCUAGGGGUGGGUCUGACUCCACAUAGGGUGCUGAGAGCAUAGGGAGAGGAGAAGUGUGGGCCUCGGUUCUCUGCUCCCAAAGCCCCUUAGAGGAGAAGGGGCUUGGGUGAGCUUUGCAGGAAGUGUAGCCCUCCAUACAGGGGCGGGAGGAAGGGCAUCCUAGGCAGCAGAAACUGCACGGGCAACUCACUGAGGAAGGAGAGGCUGUGGCCCAGCUGAGGGGCCGCCAGUAAGUCCUCCUGAGGGUCCGGGGGAGGGAACCGCGCUUUACUGUGACUCUCACAACAACCCCGACCAACAGGUAUUACUUUUCUCAGCUCCACCAAUUAAAAAACACAACCUUGGACAGUUACUUAACCUCUCUCUGCCUUAGUUUCCUCAUCUGUAUCUACCUUAUAAGGUUGUCAUGAGGACUGAAUAAGUUAAGACAUAUAAAAUUCUUAUUAAGCCUGGCACUAGGGCCAGCUUCACGGGCAUGUGACCUCCACACUGCCACAGGUCCCCACAGUCAGAAGGCAAAGGGUCCCACAUUUGGUUUAAUGCUCUGCUGUUGCUGUCUUGAAACUCUUAAUAAUUUUGGAACCAGGAGCCCCAUGCUUUCCUUUGCACAGCCACAAAUUAUAUAGCCAGUCCUGCCUGGCAUAGCGUAUGCUUAAAAACUUUAGGUUUUAUCAUUUACCUUAGAGUGUAGAAUAACAAAUCUGAUUCAAUGUAUUUGCUUUAGAAAUGAGAAGACUGAAGCUCAGAGAGUUUACAUGACUUCCUCCAUGUCUCACUGCAAGUGAAGAAACAGGCUGCAGAUGAAGAGCUGAAACCACAAUCUUAGAGGGGCUGGUUGUCUCCCCAGCUGCACUGUGGCGUUCUCAAGGUAGACAUCUCAGGGGCAACACAGCGACAUGGAAAAGAGCUUACUGGGAUCAGGCUGCCUGCGUUCAGCCGCGAGGUUAUUACCUGUGGUGACCUGGGUGGGCAAGCGUGACAGUUUCCGGCUUCCUGCUUUCUCCUGGAGAGGGAAAGGACAACGAGGUGGAGCAGAGAGAGAACUGAAGGCCCUCAAAGACGAAGAUCAUAGGAAGCACUGGCUUUGGCCACUCCUGGGUGUUCCUAUCCUGCUCCCUGCCCCCAGAGAGCAAAUGCUGCAGGUCCCCACACAUUGCCGGCCUCUGGCCUAGCUAACCACGGUUCAUCCUUUACUUCUCCUUGUAGAUGUCACUUCUGGAGAGCCAUCCCUGUGCCACCAAGAUUGAGUCCUGUGUCUUCCCAUGUUCUUCCAAGCCACCUGCAUGUGAUUAUCUGUUUACCUGUUGGCCACUCCCACUAGACUGAGGUCCCUGAAGGCAGCAGUGUUUUAUUCAUCUGUGUAGUCCUCGUACCCUAGGAAAGUGCCAACAGGCUCAAUAAACAUUUACUGGAUAAUUAUUUAUUUGGGGGCCUUUUAUGAUCAGAGCAAUUUAAGGGACACAAAGAUGAAAAAUGACACCAUUUGUUUUCAAGGAACUUACAACUGAGUUGGGGAGACAGAUGCAUCCAACAAUUAACUAUAAAACCAAGCGCCAGUUUAAAGGCUAAAAUAGAGGUACAGACAACCAACUUUGAAGAUAAGGAAGGUUUUGGACCCGAAACAUUUAUCAUUCAUUGUGUUUUCUGAUUCAGAGUCUCCAUAUUGGAAUGCUAGUAUGGUGCAGUGGUUAUAAGGAUUCAGGUUCUUAGGACCUUUAUUAGAAUUUGCCUCAUGAUCUUUCUUCUGCUCUUCUGUUGGCAGUUGUCCUAAGAGGAAUACCUCCCAUUUAAUCUUAAUUGACGUUUGUGAAAUGCCUUGUCUUCCUCUGCUGAAAGGCUAUAAGUAUUGAGUGUUAUUACUGUGUUACAGUGGUUGUUUUAUUAAAGCUGUGCAAAUGAGGUUACACAACAGCUUGGAUGAGGAAGCGAAACAAGGGCAGUGAUCCCACUGAAGCUACAGGGGAUGGGGAUUUGGGAUGGUAAAAUGUUAAUUACCGGAGACAGAAUGCGGGCUAGAGUCCAGCGCUGUGCUCCUGGAGAUCACUGCUGUCCCAGAGGCUAGGGGUGGCUCUCUGGCAGUGGGUCCUGAGCAUCCUGCCCUCCCCUGACUAGAAUGUCGGGUUCACUUCGCUGAAAACAGCCGCGGAGGAAGAAUCCAAUGGCCGUGAGUCAGGAGCACACGUCUUGCUCGGCACUGGGGGCUACUCUGGAAGCUUUCC